rnacentral:lncRNA from 1 species
AUAGAACUGGAAGGCAAGUGUGGGGUGUGCAGGGGCUUCCUGGUGAGCGUCCCCCAUCCUCACAUUCAGACUUACAUCUUCAGGCAACUUUCUAGAUUCUAGACUUUAAUGCACGAGAGAAGUAGGUGAGUAAAUACCCCGAGAAUGAGAUGUUUGCCCUGAGAAGGAUAAAAGCCGCAGCAAGAAGGACUUUAUAACUAAGGCUGGGAAUAGUGACUCUGGGUGGCGGCCUGGUUUCGAGACUGGCUGGUCCAAGUACACAGAAGAGUUGAGCAGCUACAAGUUUGCAGAGUCCCGGAGGAAGUGUGCGGCUGGAGGCGAGGCUUUCCAUGUCAGGGUCCUAAAGAAAAUGGGAGGGCUGGUGAGAUGGCUCAGUGGGUAAGAGCACCCGACUGCUCUUCCGAAGGUCCAGAGUUCAAAUCCCAGCAACCACAUGGUGGCUCACAAACCAUCCGUAGCGAGAUCUGACUCCCUCUUCUGGAGUGUCUGAAGACAGCUACAAUGUACUUCCAUAUAAUAAAUAAAUAAAUCUUUAAAAAAAAAAAAAAGAAAAA